rnacentral:rRNA from 1 species
AGAGUUUGAUCCUGGCUCAGAUUGAACGCUGGCGGCAUGCCUUACACAUGCAAGUCGAACGGCAGCGCGGGGGGUAACUCCUGGCGGCGAGUGGCGAACGGGUGAGUAAUAUAUCGGAACGUGCCCUGGAGUGGGGGAUAACUAGUCGAAAGAUUAGCUAAUACCGCAUACGAUCUACGGAUGAAAGUGGGGGAUUCGCAAGAACCUCAUGCUCGUGGAGCGGCCGAUAUCUGAUUAGCUAGUUGGUAGGGUAAAAGCCUACCAAGGCGACGAUCAGUAGCUGGUUUGAGAGAACGACCAGCCACACUGGGACUGAGACACGGCCCAGACUCCUACGGGAGGCAGCAGUGGGGAAUUUUGGACAAUGGGGGCAACCCUGAUCCAGCAAUGCCGCGUGUGUGAAGAAGGCCUUCGGGUUGUAAAGCACUUUUGUCAGGGAAGAAACGGUGAGGGCUAA